AGGCAGCAGUGAGGAAUAUUGGUCAAUGGGCGCAAGCCUGAACCAGCCAUGUCGCGUGCAGGAUGACGGCCCUAUGGGUUGUAAACUGCUUUUUACGGGGAAUAAUGUCAUCUACGUGUAGGUGUUUGAAGGUACCGUAUGAAUAAGGAUCGGCUAACUCCGUGCCAGCAGCCGCGGUAAUACGGAGGAUUCGAGCGUUAUCCGGAUUUAUUGGGUUUAAAGGGUCCGUAGGCGGGCUUGUAAGUCAGUGGUGAAAUCCCGGAGCUCAACUCCGGAACUGCCAUUGAUACUGCAGGUCUUGAAUAUAGUUGAGGUAGGCGGAAUACGUUAUGUAGCGGUGAAAUGCAUAGAUAUAACGUAGAACACCGAUUGCGAAGGCAGCUUACUAAGCUAUUAUUGACGCUGAUGGACGAAAGCGUGGGGAGCGAACAGGAUUAGAUACCCUGGUAG
rnacentral:rRNA from 1 species